ensembl:lncRNA
GGAGCCAAACGACAACAAGAUUCUCAGAGGGCGGAGCCAGAGAGCAGUGAUUGGACAGACCAUAGUUUAUAUAGCAGACAGCGCGCUAGCGUAUCUAGUCUAUGUAUAUAUAUGGUUGGCACGUCUGGUAGCAUCUCUGGCUGCUGUUGAUCUUGUUUUUGGAGUAAAACACGGUGGAAGCUGAAUUAGUGAGGAUGACUCCUGCUCCUGUCAUCUCUAAGCUCCUCACACAUCUUUACCUGCACAUGAGGAAAAUCACUCCUGUAGAAUGCAGAUGUUCAGAGGGAGAUGAUGCCACAUCUGGUCCAGCUGAUGGAAGGUCUUGAAGUUCUCUGACUGGCCUCGACUGAAGAUGGUCGUCUCACUGGAUUUAAGGUUCAGAUGCUCAGUAACAAACUCCACCAAUGUGCCAACAGGGAAGCUUUAGGUUUAUUAAAUGUUGCUAUGAAGGUAUCGCUGUUUUUCUUUGUGAAUGCAAUGUGCUCCAACUGAAAGUUGAAUUAGAACUUAGAAGUAAAUCCUUCCAUCUGAAAGGAUUUAAUUGCAUUAAUAACCUCAUAACAUUCUAAUUUUUAUUCCAGUCUUGGCUGGAAAUAGAAUCUCUGUAUUGAUUCAGUUAAAAACUGAACUUCACAGCAUGUUGAAGCAAAACAACCAGAUGAAAACUGUGAUGGUGUUGGAUUGUCAGACCGUAAUGUUGCAGCUCAAAGCAGCUUUUCUAUCUCAGUUCAUUCUGACAUUCAGCUAUGAAUCAACACAGCAGAUGGUGAUCCAUGCUGUGGAAGUCUCACAUCUCCUGAUUUAAUGGAGCUGCUUUGCACUUUUUACACUGUUUAUUCACCAACACUUUAUUUAAUAAAAGUCCCAUCUAGUUUUUAUGAGGAAUGUGAUGUUUUAAUUUCUCUGUGAAUAACUGCAGUCUAAUGUAACAGCUGGAGUUGUAACAUCUGUCCUGAUAUUGAUCAUGAAGUAUUGAUCAGAAUACUGAUGGUCAGCAGUCAUCCCUGAAGUUUUACAUUAAAAUCUUUACUUGUGUUGUGAACUUUGGUAAGAAGCAGAAACUUUUGCGUUGCCAUGGAUACAUGAGUGUUAAGUUCUGUCCAUGUUUCCAUUUUGGGAAAUGCAGUCCAGUUCCAGAAUGUGGAGGAAUUUAGUCUCACAAUCACAGACAAUAAAUAUUAUCUGAAAGUCGGGUUAUUGUUGUUUAUCAGCACAAUACAAAAAGAUUAAUGUUAGAAAUAUUCCAGUUAAGACUCUAGAAUAUCAUGAUUUAUGUAAAUUUACCUCAAUAAUAUGAAUCUUCAGGUUAAGAUUGUACAGUGAUAUUUAUUAUGUAAGUUUAGCUGAUUAAAGUUUAUGACUCUGCACUAAAAUAUUAUUUAAAUUGUCAUUAUUAUAAUAUUUAGGGUCAGACCCUACAGUAUUGAGAUUAAGAAAUCAAAUAUUCUAUAAAAUGUAAAUACACUGAACUCAUUUGGAUCUAUUUAAGUGAGACUCUACAGUAUUAUUUGACACAAAUCUAUCUAAAUCAAAAUUUUAAUCAUUUUCAUGCCAAACAUUUACUGGACUGAUUUAAAUAUUAAAAUCACUCCUUUCUAAUCCUCUGCUGUACGUUCAAACCUGAGGCCUUAAAUAGAAACACACAAGUAUCUGAUUGAAGGAACUUCUGCAGAGUCCUGGUUCCAGAACAUGAUGAUAGAAUUAUAGACAAACUUUAACAAAAGCUGCCUCAGAGUUUACAGAUUUUUAUGUUGGAUUUCUUCAGUAAUUUAAUGAGCGUUAUCAGCAAUAAUCAAGUGUUCAUUUGAUGAACUUCAUUUCCUAAAACAUCCAGAAUUGGAGCUCAUAUCUUUGGCAGCUGUAAAGUUUCUGCUCCUUCAAAGUUCACAACACAAUGAAUGAAUUCCUAAAACACUCAAUGCUGGAGAGCGUUUGUGAUGCUGAAGCAGUGAUCAGUUUUUCUGUUUCUUCUCUGGAGAAGCACAAUGAGGGACGUCUGCAGAGACUGAGAAAGAGUCUCGCCACAUCCUUACAUGAGGAAAAAGACUUUACUGAAGACUACAAUGAGGAAAACUAUCAGACAGCAGACAGCUGCAUUCAAGGUGAGCUCUGAACAUUUGAUCUGGAACAGGAAUUCAAUAACAGCAGCAUGAGCUUCGUUUCAGUCUGUAGCUGCUGAAUUCAUGGAUGAAUCAUCUGGCACUAGAGAAGAAAACCAUCAAGCAUCCAUGUCAGCUGAUGGAGGUCCAAGAGUCUCACCAAACAAACAACCUACAGAGUGAAGACCUCAAAUUUGAUUGGAUGGCCUCCUAUUCAGCCACAUGUGUGAACAAAUGCCUCUAAGCUGAUUUGUUUUCUGAAAUAAAUCUAGUUUGAGUCCUAGUCUAUGCCUGUGUGUUUGCUUCUUUACAUCGCUGUUAACAGUUUAGGCUGUUAGAUUGUUCCAGAUAAGACAAAUACAAGAUUCUUCAGAGCCGUUCUACCACGAGCCUGACAGGAAGAACUGCAACAGCUACUGAAUGUUCCUGUGGUCCCCUCAAGGCUACAGGAGGAGUCCUACGAGGACGAGCCGGUCCACCUGAUGGCGGCCAGUCGCUGCGGUUCAAAGCCAACACCGACUACGUGGACUUCUACUGGACCACACGGAGGUCUUCAAACCGGACCAACAAGUUCAGCGACUCCCCGACUCGUGGGUCUGAGGACGCCGCCGAGCCUCAGCCCAGCCGGCCUCCUGUCUGUGGGUGUUUGAGUGCUGAGAGGAUUACCACAGACCUGACCGUGAACACCGUUGACACCCACCCAAGGGAGACGCUGCCUAAGAUCUCAAGGCUGCUUGGUCGUGGUCUUUCUGGUCCUGCUCCAGAACGCCUUCAUCAACUACGUCUUCUUUUGAAGAGGCCCUCAGAUGCUGCAAUCUCUGACCUUAAGGAGGAACUGCUGCUUUCACUCUGUAACAAGACGGCGGUUAUUUU